CGCGGUAUCUCCGAUGCGGAAGACGUGGUGGUCCAUAGGCCGAGACUGGUGCUCACACCCCCGUCGUUGGAGGAGGCCAAGGAGGCCACAACUGAGCUCAAGGACGCUACUAACAGGAACAAAAUGAUCGUUAUGUUUCUUGGAGUUGGCGAUCUGAUGUUUAUUUCUUCGUGAUAUUCCAAUUUGAAUUACCGACGGUAGUUGGUCAAGGAUUGAUACUUGGUAGACCAUUCAGUUUGUGUAUCAAUCAAGGACCCUACACUUGAAAAUGUUGAGUUAGCAUUGACUUCAGGAACCAUUGCACAGUUGGUAAUGUAUGCUCUCUCUCCUUGCAUCUGAUGUGAAAUACAUUCUCGUGAUCAUUCUCGAUCGAAAAUUUGGACCGUGACCAACAUGACAUUUUCUCUCUGGUAUGAUGCCUUCAGAAAUGUUAUGUUUAGAUUACUGUCUUUGCGAGGUAGUGUCUUUACCAUUUUUAUUGAAAUGAUGUGCCACAGGGAUGCUCAUACAAGGGAGCUUCUGAAAGUAUUCCGAAUGGAUGGCCAGGUUGAGUCAGCUCAGCUAGAGACACCGCUCAUGCCAGAGCAAACCCAUGGAAUAAGUAGAGGUCCAAGUUAAACCAUCUAAGAAGGAUAAGUCCCAUGGUGGUCCUUUGGACUUCUUCCAUAAAUCUAGGAAUGCCUUAAGCAGCUGAUGCGGUGCGUCGGGUCGCAAUAAAGGGGACAUGACGAAUUGCAUGGAAAGAACAAGUGCCACCAAGUUUUUUGCAUGCAUCAAGGAGAUUUGAGGUCUGUUUAAUCCUUGAUUGGAUGACUUUAUUGUGAUGAUGGCGUCCUCACACCCAACCAAAUGAAGAUAUUUGCAUGGAUAAGCUAAAAGCAUGUGCCCGAAGAUAAUGAAAAAUUUAUAUGUUAGAUUUUUAUCUGUGUUUGUCUGAUGAUUAGAAAUUCAAAGAAUGCAUAUCUUGAUUAGUCAAAAAAUAACAGUUUUUUCGCUU